AUACUUACCUGGCAGGGGAGAUACCAUGAUCACGAAGGUGGUUUUUCCAGAAUGAGGCUUAGCCAUUGAACUUCGGAUAUGCUGACCCCUGCGGUUUCCCCAAAUGUGGGAAACUCGAUUGCAUAAUUUAUAAAACAAAAACAAAAAAUAUGAAAUGAAUUUUAUUUUGAC